GACGAACGCUGGCGGCGUGCCUAAUACAUGCAAGUAGGACGCAGUUGCGAACGGGUGAGUAACGCGUAGGUAAAUGCCUAUUAGAGGGGGAUAACUAUUGGAAACGAUAGCUAAUACCGCAUACUCGUAGAUGGACCUGCGUUGUAUUAGCUAGUAGGUAGGGUAAUGGCCUACCUAGGCGACGAUACAUAGCCGACCCGAGGGGGGUAACGGCCCAAACGGGACUGGGAACAGGGCCAGGACCCUUCCGGGGGGAGCCAGAGGGAAUCUUCGGGCAAGGGGGGAACCCUGACCGAGCAACGCCGCGUGAGUGAAGAAGGUUUUCGGAUCGUAAAGCUCUGUUGUGAAGGAAGCGGUACUUAACCAGAAAGGGACGGCUAACUACGUGCCAGCAGCCGCGGUAAUAC
rnacentral:rRNA from 1 species